UGUAACUUAGUGGUAGGGCACAUGCUUAGCAUGUAUGAGGCCCUGGGUUCAAUUCCUAGCA
rnacentral:tRNA from 1 species